ACUGUCACCUUUUUUGAGUACA
rnacentral:miRNA from 1 species